rnacentral:misc_RNA from 1 species
AAGUCGUAACAAGGUUUCCGUAGGUGAACCUGCGGAAGGAUCAUUAAAAUACGUAUCUAACGUAUCACCCCAAAUUGUGAACUUGUUUCCCCCUUGCUUUUUGGACGAGUUGGAGGUAGAUGCUUUUUUCUCCGCCCUGUUGAUUUUAUUAAAAAGCAUGGUUCAAGAGGAAACUCUUGUGACCAAGGAGAAACUCUACCGAGGGUUAAUAAAUCGAGACCUGUUGGUUUCGAUUCGACUCUCCAGCAAGGCGUUUUUAUUUUUUCCCCAUGCUUUUUUUCUUUCUUACUUUAACCCCAAGUACAAUUCUAAUGAACUAAACAAUUUCUUCUGGACUUAAAAAUUCAGAAGCAAUAAAAACCGAAACUUAAGAACAACUCUUAACAACGGAUAUCUUGGUUCUCG